AUGGCGGACGGCGUGCUCAUAGCGGAUGGCAACCUAAGGUUGGAGGAGGCAGUAGACGAGAGUGGCUUCCUAGAGCCUUUCUUCUACGACGAGGCGGAGGUCGUGGCCGAAGCGGCGGCGGCGGCGGCGGCGGAGAGGCGGCAGCGGGAGGCUGAGGAGAAGUCGGCGGAGCAUGCGCGGAAGAUGGAGGAAUGCAGGCGGAGAAAGGCAGCGCAUCAGGCCGUCAUCAACAGGAUCCGCGAGUACGAUCCCAAGACGGGGAAAGUCUGCUACACCCGAUUCUUCAACACGGACUUCUCCGUAUUUGACAUCGACGAGGAGUCUCCUCUGGCUCCAAUGCGAUACACUCACAAAACACCAUCCAAAUAUACCAACUCACUCGGAAGACAGGUGUACGACGUGUCUGACUCUGUAAACAUCCUCUCAGUGAAGAUAGCCUCUUCGGAUGUGGGAUUCCCGUUAAAGGUGUACGGUACCGUGAUUGCAAGAGAUUACCUUGAUUUUAAGUGUGUCUAUCUGUUCCGUCGCCGUAGAGAGGAUUACCAGCUCAUCAACUCAGAGUGCAAAGGGAUCGAUAGUAUAUAUUUUGAGGUGGAUCUUAAGAUCAAGGAUGACCAAGGGAAGAGAGACCAAGAACUUAGCAAGGGACUGUGUGCGAUUGAUGGCAUAUUAAUGGGAGGGGAGGAACAUGGUCAUGUUGGAUGUGAAGACCUUGAUAGCAGGCUGAGCACUGUAGAGGUGAAAUUUGCAGUAGUUAAACUUGCAGUGGAGGCUACCCUUGAAAUCAAGGUUCUCAAAGGAGAUUUCUAUGGAGAAAUCACAGCUUGCACCUCCAGGAUUCAGGAUCGCCUUGUGCUUCAUGAUAGCAAAGCAGGUGGUGUAAUCUGUGAUGGUACUGGAAUGCUCCAGUUGUGGCGCCGUGUUGUAACUGUUGGGAUGAAGGAUAUGCUUUUAUUAACGAUUGCUAUCCAGGCUAGUGAUGUGGCAACUGCCUCUGCUACACGAACCACUAAUUUCACUCCACAUGUGAACGGUGCAGAGGAAGAUGAAAUUACCUGUGGUGCUGUUAAGAUGCUUAUCAAGGUCAACUGGUCAUUAUUUGAAUUGUAA
rnacentral:rRNA from 1 species